rnacentral:rRNA from 1 species
ACGGUGUCUUCGGACAUAGUGGCGCACGGGUGCGUAACACGUAUGCAACCUACCUUACAUUGGGGGAUAGCCUUUCGAAAGGGAGAUUAAUACCGCAUAAGACAGUAACUAGGCAUCUAGUAGCUGUUAAAGAUUUAUCGAUGUAAGCUGGGCAUGCGACCAAUUAGCUUGUUGGUGAGGUAAUGGCUCACCAAGGCUAUGAUUGGUAGGGGAACUGAGAGGUCAAUCCCCCACACUGGCACUGAGAUACGGGCCAGACUCCUACGGGAGGCAGCAGUAGGGAAUAUUGGGCAAUGGACGCAAGUCUGACCCAGCCAUGCCGCGUGCAGGAUGAAGGCGUUAUGCGUUGUAAACUGCUUUUAUACAGGAAGAAACGACUCUUGCGAGAGGCAUUGACGGUACUGUAUGAAUAAGCACCGGCUAACUCCGUGCCAGCAGCCGCGGUAAUACGGAGGGUGCAAGCGUUGUCCGGAUUUAUUGGGUUUAAAGGGUGCGCAGGUGGUUUAUUAAGUCAGUGGUGAAAGACGGUCGCUCAACGAUUGCAGUGCCAUUGAAACUGGUAGACUUGAGUAAAGUAGAGGUGGGCGGAAUUGAUAGUGUAGCGGUGAAAUGCAUAGAUAUUAUCAAGAACUCCAAUUGCGUAGGCAGCUCACUUGGCUUUUACUGACACUCAUGCACGAAAGUGUGGGUAUCAAACAGGAUUAGAUACCCUGGUAGUCCACACUGUAAACGAUGAUAACUAGGUGUCGGCCGAAUCUGGUCGGUGCCACAGCGAAAGCGUUAAGUUAUCCACCUGGGGAGUACGCCGGCAACGGUGAAACUCA